GUGGACUGUGGCCUCAGGUGCGUUCGGAUUCUCAGGGUUCAACAGCGAUUGCGCCUGCAACUCGCGGAGCCAAAACGAGGCAGCAGAGUGACGCGAGCGGCGCCGAGAAGUCACUCGCACAGCAACUUCACGAGCCUCGAUGACCUCUCUCAAACCCCUCUCGGACCCCUCGGCUUGCCCCUGGGCCUCGUGCCCACCAGAACCAGGCGAGGUGCGUGCGUCGCCCGUUGCAGAAAGGCGCACGUGGCACAGGCUCCAGUGGACGUCCACUCCUCCAGGUUCCUCUCACGAGACCCCAACUGGGGCAGACGCCAAAGGAACCGAGAAGCAACCCCGAGAAUCUGCGUGACACCAACAUAGAACCGUCGCGCAGCAGACGAGGGCGAGUCUACUUCUGGUUACUACAUUAGUUUGUUUUGCGGCAAUAAGCGAAUGUAAAGCACUUAUUGACCCCCUCCCCUCACCUUAGUAAAUUAAAUAACAAUAACCUUGGAUAGUUAAUAACUUCCCGCUGUCCUCUCAUUGCAAGGCUGUGAGUUUAGAUAAAGCUACGGAGCUGACUCUUUACAUAAUAAGACCUGAACCAUCUGCUGAAGCUGCUGCUCUGGGGCGGCACUGCGAUGAAUGGGGGCUUUGUGUGCGAUUUGCAAUAAGCAAACAGCAACAAUGACAACACACGUGACCGUCUAUUGCAUGGCUGUGAGCCACACGUCAUUCUGAUAAACCCUGAGUCUCACGGGCAACGAUCCUGGAAGCUUGACACGUGUGCAUCGCUCCUGUUUGUGCCCUGAUAUGUAGUUGGGUGUUUUUUUGUUGUGGAUUUAAUUUCUAUACAGUACGGUACUGUGCUUUGUUUGAUUUUGUGAUUGUGGUGACCUAGGUUACCCGUAAAUGAGAAUUCUAAUCCUUGAGUUCUCACGUGGUUACACAAAAGCAACCUAAACUUGAACCGAUAGAAAUUACAGGAAAUGUUGUGGAUUUGCUCUCCAACACACCGGUGUGCUGUACUAGUAACCAAUUGGCAUGUCCUGUUGACGUGACAGACCCCUUACUAAAGGGCUGUGUCGGGUGGUGGCGGGUUUAACGAUACGUUGAUAUUUACGCGAUCUAACCCAACAAAACCUGUAUUAUGAAGUAAAUUAUACACUUACACAAACACACACUGUGGUAGAAAGGUCAGGGCUCAGCCCUGCAAUUGCCGCUCACGCCACCGUUGGCCGAAGAGACCUCCACUCGAAGGGAGCACGAGGGGUACACUCGAGGCAUUUACACCACGGUACACAUAAGGUCCGAUUCCCACUGGCUGCUGUUGUUUCAUUUACAGACUCAGUAUCUUUAUUGAGACUUGAGGAUUCCGAUUAGCUAUAAAACUCAUUUUGACGAAUGUCGGGAAGUAGCGGGUCAGCAAGUUACACCAACAACAACAAACAAUACAAAAACAAUAAUAGGAGUGCAAAAUAGAUCAAAGGUAAGCGAGUCACUAAACAUACAUUAAUAUAAAAUAUACAAAUUGCAUAAGUACAUACAUUCGUGCUGGGGCGAGGUAGCAAAACAACAACAACAACAACAAAAACAUUCCCAGACCACACCAAGAAAACAACACACAGUCCCCCCGAUCAUAUUGCACAUGGAUAUUGCCCUGGAAAAGUACUAAUCAACGCACGCCAUCUCACGAGGCUUCUGUGCGCUGCCCACUCACUCGACCCAAUGCGUGGACGAACCCGCCGUGGUUUGUCCAGUGGAGGGGAUUCGCCACUGCUCUCUCACGAUUGUUGAGCACGGGGCGCAAAGCGUCGAGCGGCCAGCAACAAACACCGCUGCUGUCAGAGAUAAAGAGUUAUCACGUUUCUUGAAAUGUUAUAAGAUCGUGGGGAAAUAAGAUGAUGCCGGGAUGGAAUUCCAAGGCCGGCCAGUGCUAGGAAGCAUACAUGGAAAUUGAUUAUGGUAAUACUGAUGAUGAUCAAAUUGUUAUGCUGUUUCUGAUCGUGGUGAUGCUGCUGAUGAUUGAUGAUGGUGAUGACGCUACUGCUGAUGAUGAUGACAAUGUGAUGCUGCUGCUGAUGAUGAUGACAAUGUGAUGCUGCUGCUGAUGAUGAUGGUGGUGAUUACGCUGCUGCUACCGCUGAUCAUGUUUAAUUGAUUGAUGAUGAUGCUAAUAAUGAAUGAUGGUCAUUAAUGUUAAAGCGUUAGAGAAUUCUGGUGGGCUAGCACCUUGCUCCCCCGUGUAGCCUUCACAGACUGUCGGGGCAAGUGCUGUUAGCGAGUAGCACCUACGAAGGGUCAGCACGGGACGCGAUGGGGUGGGUCGCCUUUGUCUCCCUCCUGGUGAUGU